rnacentral:rRNA from 1 species
ACAUGCAAGUCGAGCGGACAGAUGGGAGCUUGCUCCCUGAUGUUAGCGGCGGACGGGUGAGUAACACGUGGGUAACCUGCCUGUAAGACUGGGAUAACUCCGGGAAACCGGGGCUAAUACCGGAUGCUUGUUUGAACCGCAUGGUUCAAACAUAAAAGGUGGCUUCGGCUACCACUUACAGAUGGACCCGCGGCGCAUUAGCUAGUUGGUGAGGUAACGGCUCACCAAGGCGACGAUGCGUAGCCGACCUGAGAGGGUGAUCGGCCACACUGGGACUGAGACACGGCCCAGACUCCUACGGGAGGCAGCAGUAGGGAAUCUUCCGCAAUGGACGAAAGUCUGACGGAGCAACGCCGCGUGAGUGAUGAAGGUUUUCGGAUCGUAAAGCUCUGUUGUUAGGGAAGAACAAGUGCCGUUCAAAUAGGGCGGCACCUUGACGGUACCUAACCA